rnacentral:rRNA from 1 species
AGAGUUUGAUCCUGGCUCAGGAUGAACGCUGGCGGCGUGCCUAACACAUGCAAGUCGAGCGAUUCUCUUCGGAGAAGAGCGGCGGACGGGUGAGUAACGCGUGGGUAACCUGCCCUGUACACACGGAUAACAUACCGAAAGGUAUGCUAAUACGGGAUAAUAUAAGAAAUUCGCAUGUUUUUCUUAUCAAAGCUCCGGCGGUACAGGAUGGACCUGCGUCUGAUUAGCUAGUUGGUGAGGUAACGGCUCACCAAGGCGACGAUCAGUAGCCGACCUGAGAGGGUGAUCGGCCACAUUGGAACUGAGACACGGUCCAAACUCCUACGGGAGGCAGCAGUGGGGAAUAUUGCACAAUGGGCGAAAGCCAGAUGCAGCAACGCCGCGUGAGCGAUGAAGGCCUUUGGGUCGUAAAGCUCUGUCCUCAAGGAAGAUAAUGACGGUACUUGAGGAGGAAGCCCCGGCUAACUACGUGCCAGCAGCCGCGGUAAUACGUAGGGGGCUAGCGUUAUCCGGAUUUACUGGGCGUAAAGGGUGCGUAGGCGGUCUUUUAAGUCAGGAGUGAAAGGCUACGGCUCAACCGUAGUAAGCCCUUGAAACUGGAGGACUUGAGUGCAGGAGAGGAGAGUGGAAUUCCUAGUGUAGCGGUGAAAUGCGUAGAUAUUAGGAGGAACACCAGUAGCGAAGGCGGCUCUCUGGACUGUAACUGACGCUGAGGCACGAAAGCGUGGGGAGCAAACAGGAUUAGAUACCCUGGUAGUCCACGCCGUAAACGAUGAGUACUAGCUGUCGGAGGUUACCCCCUUCGGUGGCGCAGCUAACGCAUUAAGUACUCCGCCUGGGGAGUACGCUCGCAAGAGUGAAACUCAAAGGAAUUGACGGGGACCUGCACAAGUAGCGGAGCAUGUGGUUUAAUUCGAAGCAACGCGAAGAACCUUACCUAAGCUUGACAUCCUUUUGACCGAUGCCUAAUCGCAUCUUUCCCUUCGGGGACAGAAGUGACAGGUGGUGCAUGGUUGUCGUCAGCUCGUGUCGUGAGAUGUUGGGUUAAGUCCCGCAACGAGCGCAACCCUUGCCUUUAGUUGCCAUCAUUAAGUUGGGCACUCUAGAGGGACUGCCAGGGAUAACCUGGAGGAAGGUGGGGAUGACGUCAAAUCAUCAUGCCCCUUAUGCUUAGGGCUACACACGUGCUACAAUGGGUGGUACAGAGGGCAGCGAAGUCGUGAGGCCAAGCUAAUCCCUUAAAGCCAUUCUCGGUUCGGAUUGUAGGCUGAAACUCGCCUACAUGAAGCUGGAGUUACUAGUAAUCGCAGAUCAGAAUGCUGCGGUGAAUGCGUUCCCGGGUCUUGUACACACCGCCCGUCACACCAUGGGAGUUGGGGGCGCCCGAAGCCGGCUAGCUAACCUUUUGGAAGCGGUCGUCGAAGGUGAAACCAAUAACUGGGGUGAAGUCGUAACAAGGUA